GCAGGAUCAUAAAUAAAAAAGAUGGGAUUAUUAUGAUGAAAGUGUAUGCUGACAUUGUAAUAAUCUUGUCUAUGUUCUAAAUACAAAAUACCUUCACGAGGUUUAGAAUGAGUGAUAUAAGGAAGUUAUAUUAGCUAAAUUUAUGUGUGAAAUUGAUGGGUGAUUAGAAAUAGCUUGUGUAGUUAGGUGUAGAGAAAUAAUAUUGAAUGUAAUCUAUAUUGUUUGAGUUAGUUUUUAUACUGGUGAUAUCAAGAAUUUAAAUAUGUAACAACACACUAAAUCUAACCA
rnacentral:misc_RNA from 1 species